AUAGCUGAUUGCACCAACAAAUAGUUGAUGCAAUAUUGACUCUGUCAAAUAAAAUUCUAGGUAGAAUUAUGAUAAUGACAUUGUCUGCCUAUAUGUCUUGACCAAAUUACGUGCCAGCAGUCGCGGUAAUACGUAGAAGACUAGUGUUAUUCAUCUUUAAUAGGUUUAAAGGGUACCUAGACGGUAAAUCAAGCCUUCACAGGGACUAAUUUACUAGAGUUACUUACGAGGGGGUAUUAAAGUACUGCAGGUGUAGAGAUGAAAUUCUGUCAUACCUCUUUUCAAAAGAAAAAUUAUGGCACAGGUAUAGGUGAAAGCAUCCCCUUAUGUGAUAACUGACGUUGAAGGACGAAGGCUUUGUGUCGCGAACAGGAUUAGAUACCCCAGUAGUCAAAGCAGAAAAUGAUGAAUGUCAUAGAUUAGAUAAAUAGUUUAUUCUAUAAAUGAAAAUGUAAGCAUUCCACCUCAAGAGUAAUUUGGCAACAUUGGAACUGAAAUCAUUAGACCGUUUCUGAAACCAGUAGUGAAGUAUGUUGUUUAAUUUGAUGAUCCGCAAAAAACCUUACCACAAUUUGAAUAUUUAUAUCCAUCUUUUUUUUUCGUAAAAAAAUAAAAAGGUAAUAUAUUUACAAGCGUUGCACGGCUGUCUUCAGUUAAUGUCGCGAGACUUUGGUUAGUUCCAUUAAAUUAACGUAAACCCUUACUUUAUUUUUAUAUGAAGUAGUUCCCCGCUAUAUUGGAUAUGAUAACAGGGACUAAGACAAGUCAUCAUG
rnacentral:rRNA from 1 species